CCGCACCAAGCGUAUUCAGUAUAAGGGAGAGAGAACAGCGUUCUUCUUGGGAUUGACCACCAUGGAAAUUUAACCUCCUUUGCAGACAGAUAGGAAAAGCAGAUACUGCAAGGAAGGAUGGAGCACAAUCCCUGGAUUUCAUGUUUCCUGAAUUAUGAAAAUAUUCUGCAAUUAUGCUUGCUGCUUUCCCAGUUGGUACCUUGCUUCAUUUAAGAUGUUGGAAGGCUUUGUUUGUUUGGCUUAUUUGCCCGCAUCAGAAACCUCUUUCAUAAGAACCUAAGUGAAAUAAGGAAGUUUCUUUCCAAAAACAAACCUUUUCAUCAUGCAUCCCAGCCCUUACCACCGUGCAAUUAGUAGUGUGCUCCCUGUAAGCUGUAGUUUAAGGGGUGCGGUAAGGAAAGAGGUACUUCCUGUGAAAGUCUAGAAGUCCCCAAACUGGGCUAUGAGCAGCUUGCCCCCCACCCCGCCGGCUUCCCCGCCUC
rnacentral:lncRNA from 1 species